AUUUAAUGUUAAAUUGUGAUGGGCACUGAAUUUUACAUAGAUUACCUUAUUCAAUUCUCUCAGCUAUUCUGAUUCCCAUUAUAUCGAGUAAGAAAUUGAGAGAAAGUAAGCUAAAUAAAUUUUCACUUAGGAAAAAGGUUAUAAUUAGUAAAUGGCAGGAAUAACAUUUGAAUCCCAUUUUCCCUACUAACAGAAUUGGUGUCUUUAAACUGUUAUCCUGUGCUAAAAUUCUGUAAUUUUUUAACUUAUUUCUUUUUAACAAACUAAUUUAAAUAAUUUCUAUUUUUGUAAAAAAAAUAGUUCUAGUCCUAUUUAGAAAUCUUAUUUUAUGUUUUCUUUGCUUUUAUGCUUCCUGUUUCUCAUUCUCUUUCUCUCUCUCUCUCUCUCGCCUCUUGCUCCCUCCUUCUAUAUCUUUCUCUUUUGAUAUAUGAUUAUAUUGUUUCAUCUGCUAUUGAUCUGGUAAUUUGGAUGUAUUAAAACAUAGUUUUUUCUAGUAAUAAUUACUGUCAUUUGUCCAAAUAAAUUCAUUUCUAUUUUAUUAGCAUUAAUGAAAGUGUAUACUGUAAAAAAUAAGGAGUAUAAGAUGCUAUUUCUUCAUACAUCUUCUGUCACCCGAUUUCUGAUUUUUUUUCUUAUAUUACCUUACGUCAGAUAUUGAACAUUAUUAUUAUUGAUACAGCAGUAGAAAGAAUAAUCACCAAAAAGGUGGCUUAUUUUAGGUAGCAGAGUGAUUCUAGCACUAAACAGGUGCUCAGUAAAUACUUAUCAAGUGUUAAAUUAACAAACAUGUUCUUUUUAUCACAUGUGCACACAGAAAAAGAAAACAGGUGAGACCUUUUUAGAGUCUUCAUUUGCUAUUGCAUGACUUCUUAUUUCAUUUAGAACUGGAAUUUUGUAAGCUAUUGAACCACCAUAUAAUACAAUAAAUAACUCUCGAUUCUUUUGUUAAGCAGAUCUAUGCUUUGUGAAGCAGCCUUUUGCAAUCAAUGACUUUACAUUCAAUUUAGUUCCAUUCAUCCCUAUUUUUACAUUUUCUCCUUGUGCUCUACUCCUGACCCCCACAAUUCAUAAAUAUAUUUCAUAAGUCUCAAAUCAGUAACUAAUGUUUUCAUUGUGCAAAUACUAUGAGAUUCUUGGAUAUAAAGUAGUGACUAAAUGGCAAUCAUUUUAUCAUAUUAAAUGUCUCUUUACCCCAGUUCUUCAAGAAUAGUUUGUGUGGUUUAUUGUUUAAGGAAAGGAAUUUUUGAAGUAAUGCUACUGUUUUAUUUUUGGUGGUAGUUCUCAAAAUCCCCAACUAUAGUCAAAGGAAAUUCUUUAUAUAAAUUUCUAAGAAAAUGGAUUUUUUCAUUGAUAUAAAAAGAAACUUUAUGAUGAUCUAAAACAUGCUAGAGUAAAAACACUGUGCUUCUAUUGUAGCAAAGCAGUUAAAUAAAACAAUAUAGAAUAGCAAAAAGAAAAAAGAAAACAAAGUAUAAACUGGGUCAUUUGUUGAUGUGCAAAUUUUAUGGAAAUUUUAAUGACACAUUUGAUUGAUUUAUAAGGAGUCUAUAUUAUACUGUUAUAAGAACACUCAAGCCUUCUAUGUGGCAUAAUUUUAACAAUCUUUUAUACAUAACAACAGAUUGAAAUUAAACUGUCUUCCUAGCUGUUUCUAUUCUUUAAAUUAUAAAAUGAUUUUUAUUAUUCUCUUUUUAAAACUGUUGACUGAGAAUCAGGAAAUUUGGUUUCUAGUCCUAGUUCUGUCAUUUAACUGGCUGUAUGACCAUGAGUAAAUCAUUGAACUCUUUGCACCGAUUUGUCUUUCAUAAUGUAGAAAGUUGGAAUUGAUGCUUGAAAAUGUUCUUUCCAUUUUUUGUGUUCUAGUAUUCUACAUUGUAUCUGUCUAUAUGCAGAAACAUAUAUAAAAACUUAACUCUAAGUAUGUUUAGUUACUUUUCUCUUUGCUGACACAAAAUACCCAACACCCAGAGUUAAAGGAGGAAAGGUUUAUUUAGCUCACAGUUUGUAGAGGAUUCAGUCCAUAAUGGGCACAAGGCAGAGGGGCAACAGUUCACGGCAGUGAGAGAUAGCAAAAGAAAUAAGAGACCUUAACAGUAUCAUCCUCCCCCUUUUAUCUUAUCCAGACUGCUUAGGGCUGGUAGCACUCACACCCUUAAUCCUAGUGCUCUUGAGCCUAGCAUUAAACCAUGAAUCAAUUCCAGCAUCACACACUCUAGAUCCAGCCACCUCCAAAAAAGCCCCACCUAAGAACACAGGAGGCCUUGGGAAGACAUCUAAACACAAGCUAUAGCAAUGUAUACAAACUAUAACAGUGCCCCAUAUACCAGUAGUUUAAGCUGUUCGACAGACAUCAUGAGGAAAUAAGUAAGGGGGAACUGCUGUAGGCUCUUCCUCUGAACUGACAGAAUGAAAGCAUUUUCAAAAGUAUUAUUGGGCAUCAUUGUGCAAAAUGGAUCACAACAGAAGUAAUCAACCAGGCUGAUUUGGUGCCUUGGAUCAGGGUAAGAUAAGGAAAGUGCACACCAUAGUGAUACAGAGAUGAAGUAUAAUCACAAGGUAUGAAGAUACUGAGAUAUAUAUUCAUUCAAAAAUAAUAGCUAAAAGUAACAUUUUUAAAAUCAUGAAAGGAAAUACAAGUAUCUAAUAAACAUGAAAAAAUAUCUCACUAGCACUCAAUACAAUUUAUAAAAAACAAUAAAUCUCAAUGCUAGUAAGUAUGCAGUAAAAUAGGCACAACUGAAGAAUUUCAGUUUACUCACCUUCUGAAAUACAGGUAUAUAUAGAUUUUCACUUUCCCCCACCAGAACCACAUCAUUUUUGUUUCCAUUGCCUGUUGUUUCUCAGAGUUUCUCUGUUUCUUUUUUGGAUCCUUGUACCUUUGCCUUAGGUGAUCACCCUGCACUUUGACAUUCCAAAACUUCAUUUCUUCAAUCAUUUCUGCCCUUACUACACUGAAACCACAUUUACAUGCACAUGAAAUCACUUUCCCUUAUCCUAAAGGAGGAAGUCUGUCUAGAUCAUUCUGUGUGUUACCAAUUAUCUUUAACUUCUAAAUUUGUUAUUAUAAAAAUUGUUGCUCUAAUAAUGGCAUUUUGAGUAAUUGAAUAGAUGAAAAUGAAGUAAAGAACACAUUCAUGAUGUUACUGCAAAGUCAUUUUUAUUCAGUGGAAAAAAUGCUACUGAUAAACUUAUUAGGCACCCUUUUCAAGAAUAGACUCUCAGUCAUCUGCUCUAUGUAAAAAUGAAUAAACAUAACAACUUACUGGGGUCUGUACCCAGAAAUUUAGCCAAAAAAGAAACCCACGUGGGAAGAAUGAACUAGAUAAAGUUUUAUCAGUUCAAAAUACCCAACUACUUAGUAUGGUCCUUUUCUAACAAAACUGUAUAAGUAAAAACAUAAUUGUCUUUAAAACCUAUAUUCCUUACCCUAGCCUAUGGCAAAGUACUGAAGAAAGUAAAAGUUUCCAGACAACGCCCUUUUACCCUUGUGGGAGGAGAAUGAGCACACUCUAUCCAGGCCUCCACAGAAGUACAAGUCAUUUGUGGAUACGCUCAUCUCCUUUUCAGAAAGUUUUCCUGAACUUUUUCAGAAGGCAGAGACUGUGUGUCUUUAUUACCUCAAAUUCUGUCAAAUUGCAUGAUCAUUGGAUGCACUGAUAUAGGAUUAGCAGUUUUAUUAGGCUUAUUUUAGUAUCUAAAAUAUAAAGUAAAAGUCACUUGGCUAUAAAUGCUUACACUUUUUACUCUAACUCAUCUUACUAGCAUUUAGGUGAAUGUCUUAGAAUGAUAAUAUUAUGGAGUUUUGAACAUCUUUGAGAGUAAAUAACUUUCAAAAACCUAUUUUUCUGCAAGAUUGAGAGUGAAAAUAGUAUAGUUCUUAAGAGCUCUUUUGGUUAUUAGUGUGGCAUUAAUAACAAGUUAUUAAAUCUCUGAAUUUCAAUUUUCACAUCUGAGAGAUGGGAAUAGUCCUUGUAGUGGGGAUUAGAUAAGAUACUGCUUAUCAAACAGCAUGAUGCCUCCCAUUAUGACUAGAGUUAAUGCCUCGCAGGACCAGGAUGGGUGUCUGUACUCAUGCUUCUGGACCGCUGGGACACAGCAUGUGGUAUACCACUCAGGCACUUACCUGACUCCAAGUCAGAGAAUGUAAGGACAUAAAGUAGUGUUUUUCAGUCUUUAGGAGCAUAAGAAUUACUUGGACAACUUACUUAGAGAGCUCUUAGUUCCACCACAAAAAAAGAGUAAUUCAAUUGGUUUGCUGUGAGGUGAGGCCCUGAAGUAUGUCUUUUUAACAUGUCCUUCAGGUGUUUUUGGUGUAGCUGAUCCUAGACCAAGCUCUGAGUCACCCUGGCAUCAUGACCCCAUCUCAACCUUGAUCAUAGAUCACCUGCAGCCCCCUUGCAUUAUUCCCUAGGAGUUACCCUCCUCAAUGCUAGUGGCUUUGCUAUGGGAAACAUAGCUGUCUCCACCCCUUCACUUCAUCUUUCUGAAGACAGAAGAAAAGAAUAGAGAAGGCAGGGUCAAUUGAGAAAACUUGAGUAGCUAUAGCAAAUUGUCAAUUAUUUUUGCCUUAGUCCAAAAGUGAGCUGACUUGUAUGGAAAGCUUGAACUUUAGAACAAUAGUUUCCCCCCAUAACUGAGGAAUGGCUGGGUAUAGUGAAAUCUAUCUCUUGUUUUUUUAUGGAACUACUAUCUAAAGAAUUUAGAAGAAUAAGUACAACUGAAGUGCAAAGUGUUAAAUGCAUGCUUCGAUUUAGUCAAUGCAUUUGCACAUUGAAGUAAUUAGGAUGUAUUUAAAAGCAUUCUGCUUGCAAUACUUUGUUCUCCAUUUCCUACAAAUUAAAUUAGUGAGGGGUAGAUUUGAUUUUUACAUCAUUUUGAAAAUAUUUUCUUUUUCUUUUUGUAAUUUCCUUAGUAUUACAUUUUUACAAAGUUCAGAACAUAACCGUGACUAAAUUCAUAAAAAUAAAACAAAAAGCCCAAAGUGCAAGAAAAUGAAAAACAGCACAAAAUAAUAUGCAGAAGAACAACAUAAAUUAUACCUUAAAAAUAUAGUUGUAGUAAUAUACCUUAUCCAUGUCUGAUCAAUUAAUAAUAAAUACUCAGAUAGCAAAUAACUCAUUCUAUUGCUUUGAUUGAGAUCCCCAAAUUUAAUUAUUCAUCUUAAUGCAAAUAAAUAGGGACAGCAGGUCUACUUAGAAAAAUCUUAACAAUCUCCUGUUUUCAUUGUACUAUAUAUAAUGCAAUGAAUGAAUAUAAAUAAAGAGUAUAAAGGGUACUUUGCUUCCUUACCUAUAAAGUAUUCAAGCAAGAUUAUUUUUUAAAGUAAAGUUAGAUUUGCAGAACCAAGAAAUGGUUAUGGAGCUAUGUAGCAUAAACAAAGACAGACUGGAGUUUAAAGACCAACUCUGCACACUGCCUGAAUAAUCUUCAACAAGUUACUUCACCUCCCUGGGUCUCAGUUUUUGUAUCUGUAAAGUGGAGGUAAUAGUAUCUAUAGUGCAGAUUGUUGUACUAAUAUCCAUUUGAAGUGCCUGACUUUUAAUAUAUUCUCAAUUAGUGACAGUUAUUAUUAUUAAUUCAAGAAAUAAUAUAAAAGUGUCCCAAAAUGAAAAAAAAAAAAACCUAACCAGAAAUAUUCUGUGAUCUCACUUUCCCAGGGGCUAAUAACAUGAUUCACAGAUUUUAUCCUUAAAAUGUUUCCUAUAUUGCAAAUUAAUGGCCUCAAAAUACAUGUUGAGAAAUCCCCUUUAUAUUAUUGGAGUUCACAGUUGAAUGAAUAAAUUUUGCCAAAACAAAUUAUUAUCAUAUUCUUUUGAAGAAAAACAGUACUUUGGAUUGAGCUCAGAUAAAUCUAUUUCUUCCUAUUCUUUCUGUACUAUUAUAACUGUACAAGUAUACAUACUUACGCAUAGAAGUGAAGGAGAAAGAAUCAAGAAUAACAGAAUUAAAUAUGCUUUUUAGGAUACAGAGAUGGUGCCCCCUGUUCAGCCCUGUGAUUCAUAUAUAGAAAAUGUUUAUUACAUGUUUGUUAAAUAAAUGGGGAGAAAAUUGCUAAGAAAAUAUCUGAAUAGCAUAAAGGAACUAGCUCAAAAAAUAGUAUAUACAAGUCAUCAGAGAGAGCUAAAAACUUACCUGUGGGUAUCAACAACUCUUUAAUUAGGUUGGUUUAUUGUGAAAUUACAGCCAUCUUUGUCCAGGACCACCAGUUCUUAGCUGAGGAGAUAACUAGGAGAGCUUACUGACCUUUAGUCAGAGAAAUGAGAUAUAUCAGAAAUGGAAGGAACUGUGAAGAUUUUCUAAUCCAAGGGGCAUAUUUUUCAGCUGAAGAAAUUGAAUGAUACUAAUACGCUUGGUGCCUAAGUUUGUUGGUUCUUGAACUUGAGUUUCCUAAUUUUGGUCUUGUUCAUUUUAUAGGGCGCCGGGUUGUCUUUGUGUUCCCUGACUGCCUGUUCUCCUUAUAUGCAUAGCAGCUUCUCUUCCUAUGUCCAGAACAGUACAGCAGAGUAUCUUGCUGUGCCUCUGAUUAGAUUCAUCUCCUCUAGUAUGUCAUUUUUCCAUAGCUCUUAAAAGGCCACAGUAGAUUUUUUAAAAUAUAUUCCAAGUGGACAUUAAUAAAAAAAAUAAAAAGCACUGUUCUUCUAUGAAAAAAUAAAUCAAAAUUUCAUGACAAAAUAAUUACAGAAUAACAAUAGUUAAUACAUUGUGUAUUAUAAUCUUUAAAAAAAAUGGCCAAAAUGUUACUCAGAGUUCAAGUCAUAGACAAAAAAGACUCUUAUAAAGAAGAAACAAACAAAUAAGAGCACAAAACUUUCUCUUUAAUGAAAUGAAUUAGCAUACAUAUUAAAAUAUUUUCAAAGCUACAGAAUAGAUCAUUUGGGAAUUAUUUGGACUUUUCCCUACUUUCUAUUUAUCUAUCUUCUAUUUUGAUAUAUUUUAUAUAUUUUUAAUUUUUUUAAAAAAAGAGAACCCAUGUGAUAUUUAAGCUUGUCUGUCUGGCUUAUUUCACUUACCUUUAUUCUCAUUAGUCACAUCCAUUUGCCUACGAAUGCCUCAAGUGUAUCUUUCUUUAUGGUAGACUUAGUAUUCCACUGUGUAUGCAUACCAAACUUUCUUUAUCCAUUCAUCUGUUGGCAGACAUGAAAAAUGCAAAUUAAAACUACGUUGACAUAUCUUCUUACCCCAGAAAGAAUGGCUAUCAUCAAAAAAAUCAAAUAAUAACAAAUGCUGGUGAGGAUGUGGGGAAAAAGGAACCCUUCUACAUUGUUGGUGGAAAUGUAAACUAGUGUUAACCACUGUGGAAAUCAGUAUAGAGAUUCCUCAAUAAAAUAAAAAUAAAAAUUCCAUUUGACCCAGCUACGUCAUCAUAUUACGUACAAGGAUACUUGCAUACCCAUGUUUAUAGCAGCACAAUUUAUAAUACCUAGGUCUUGGACAAAACAGAUUUUUAUCUGAUCUUUAAAUUCAUUUUUUAUUAAGAAAUAAAUUAAUAUAUUAAGUUUUUAACCAUUAAUAACUCAUAUAGAUAACCUUAGCUGUUUUUCAGGUGAUUAUUAGCUGGCACUAGAUAGGAUGGAGAACAAAGAAUUGUUAUAAUUUCAUUGGAGAAAAAGUGACAGGAGAGUUCUGUCCUCAAGGUACUACUGAGGGGAAGGCAAGGUCGGGCAGGCUGUGGCAGGAGGGUCUAGAGAACCCAGGAAGUCACCUAAGGAUUUGAAUCUUAGAAAAUAUUUUAAAAUGUAAGAAAUAAAAGAAGGGGUAGGUAAAAAAAACUUUGUAGAAGAGUACUGCAAGAAGAUUUGAUGAUUCGUUCUUGUGGUACAUCAUUUACUGUCUUUGUAACUUCCUUGCUCAGUGUAGAAGCCUUGUGUUCACAUUGUUUGUGUCCUGUUGCAACUUACUUGUACAUAGCUGCUGUAAAGUAAUGAUUAGAAUACCUGGAAUCAGGGAUUAAUGGCAUCUAUAAGGGAAGAAAUAUAGCUGUGUGGUAGGUAAAUAUCAUCUUUAUCCACAUAAAGAAUGAAAUGUGGCUAGCUGUUAAUAGUGAGUUAAACUGGCAUACCAAGAAUUUUUAUAAAUGGUUUUCCCAUGCUCCAUUGAAUCUGUGGCUUAGACUUUGGUUGUAUACCAGCUGUGCAUGCAAAAUCUCAUAAUUAUUCUUACUGUAUUAAGCAUUUUAUAGCAAUUUUAGCUCUAAAAUGCUAUGCAAUAGUUUUUAUGCAAGUAUACCAGACAUGUAAGCUGUUCCAAUGAAAACAUUUCCUUUCUUUUAGACACAUGGUUUUACGUUUCCAAACUUAGCUGUUUCCAUUGAUGGAAGAAUCUUUAGGACAGAAAUCUGGUUUUCUUUUUUUCUUUUUGUUUGGGGUGGAGUGGGGGGGGUGACAGUUGAAUUGUCUCUCAGUACUUUAUUCCUUUAUACAGCCUCAUCAGAAAAGGGACAUUUUACUAAUUGUAUAAUACUGAUAUUAACAAGUGUUGCUGCUGAGCACUAGUUCCUCCACCUGUCAUAUUCAGAAAGGUGCCAGUGAGGAAGCUAGACUGAUCUCUGAAUCCUUCCAGGGUACUGUGGUAAACAAGCAGAAGGACAUGGACUUAACCUCUUUGGAGAAGGCUGACACCUUCAACACUGCUGCACAUGCAGCUGCGCCCUGCAGUGGCAAGUCUUGGGUCUGAGCCCAAAACUGGUGUGGAGUUUGAACCCUUGGCAUUCUGGCCUAGGGCCAAGUGCUAUCAAUGGAACCCCACUGACACCUUUAGUUAUUCUUCCUAGAUUAGGAUAGUAAUUUACUUGUCUCUUUGAUUUCAAGUGUCUGGUUUUGUUUCCAGAUGCCUCCCAGUUCAUCUGUAUUCCAGGGGUUUCAAAAGACUUUAACCUCAUUGGUUCUUUCUUUUGUUAGUUCCAUUUGGUGAACACAGGAGGGAUAUAGAGAGACUAGAGAGGCAAGGGAGGGCGUGUGUGUGUGUGUGUGUGUGUGUGUGUGUGUGUGUGUGUGUGUGUAAUGUAGGAGGAUGGGGGGGGGCUUGGGGAAACUGCAGGAAUAAAUGAAAGGCAUAUUCACUUUCAAAAUAUCAGCUAUUAUACCAGAGCAAGUCAGAAUGGAGUUUAAGAGGUGAUAUGCAGGACAAUGUAAUGAAAAAUGUUAUUAGAUAGGUGCAUGUGUAAAAGCCCUCCAACCAGCAGUAAUCUCAAUCUCUCCCAAACGAUUACAAUAUAUGAAAGAGAUGGAGAGACCAUAGAAAUUUUAUCCCAAUGCCAAUAAGGUAACAGCACUUGGAUUUUAACAUGUGAUAGUAGGAAAAGGCAUUUAUGCAUGGGUGUCAUUUUAUGUUUACAAGGGCCUGUCUAGCACUGUUUAUUGAUUUUACUGCAAUUUUUCCCCAGGACCGUGUAGAUAGAUAAUUGCUAGAAAUGUCCAUCAUUAACACAGCAACAAAUGCAACCAUUGCACUAAGAAAAAGAUACACAUAGGACCCUGUUAGCAAGCCUCAAAUGGGGAGGAGGAGAGUCACACAAUAACACGUGCAGCUAUAACUCCAGGCAAACACACACGCACAACACCCUGUGUAGCCAUUGCACUGAGAAAAUACACACAGCCCCCUGUACAGCCAUCACACAUCAGGAAAAUAACACACAUGACACCCCUGCGCAACCAUCACACCAGGCAAAAGCACAGACAUAAAAUGCUAAGUCAAUAGGAAUGAACAGCUCAUAAAAGCCUACUGGAAUAGAUCACAUCACAGCCAGGUACAUCUGUUCUCAGCAUUAACCAUUAUCGUUAGCUUAAAAUGCUUAAAAUCACUGCACAUCCUCAGGUCUAGGGACAGAUUAUUCCAAGAAGAUUCAGCUAAAUAGACUUGGCAAUUCAGUGAAGGGGACCUCUACUACAUUAAAGUGAUGCAUUUUGCAUCUCAAAGGCUGUCAACUGUAUUUAGGGGAACCGUGUGAUUGAAGAACAAUGCUCCACUAUAGGAUAGCAAUUUUUUUUGGUCCUUCUAAACCUGGAGGUGAUUUUUUACCCCAACUUGUGUUAAGCAUACCAUUGAAUGGGUAGCUCUCAAAUUGGGAGGUGACUAAUAAAAGCAGAAUUGGAAAUAGCUUUCAACUUGUGCUGCAAAGGAAGCCAUGACAUUCUUAUUUAAACUGGAACUCUCAGAUGGUGUAUCAUAUCUAAAGAUUUUAGUGAGGUCAGACUUCAAGCCAUCAAUUUGAGAUAAAUAAGUACCAACUACAGUCCUUGCUUCAGAGGGUUGUCUGCCCCUCUGGGGGGAAUAAAGGAACCACCCACCUCUUCAUUCACCAGUGCCUUCUCUUUAUCCUCUUGCCUUGGUCUGUGAUGUUAUCCGAACUGUGUGACACAGAAGUUACCACAUGGCAAGGGAAACUCGGCAUGCUUUUCUGAAGAGUGGCCCAAAAGAACAGUAAUGAAGCUGAGAAGACAGUAAAAGAAAUUCGGGGCAAGGUGCCAGACGCCCAGACGGAAGGAGAAUGUGGACCAAAAGAUUGCGACAAUCGGGUUGAGAAAGAAAGCAACCUCAAAAAAGUGGUGGAGAGGGGGUUAGAGAGAAAAAAGAAAGAAAAAAAGGAGAGAAGGAAACAGGGGAAAAGUAAGAAAAGAUGCUUGAGCUCAAUAGUUGGGUAUCUUGACUUGUAGAAAAGACAAAACUUAGAGCCUUCAAGUAGCAAAACUUAGAGCCUUCAAGUCUUUGAAUACUAGUUUUUAUUUUGUGUUUCAAAUUUGAACAAACUUUCAAUAAAUCAUAUACAUAAUCUGAUUAUCUUGCUUAAACUUUCAUUAAACUCAUCAAUUUUGUGAAACAAUUUGAAAGCAUGGGAGACCCCCAAACUCUCUUACGUUAGCAUGUAUCAUGAUCCAGGCUGCAGAUUUUCUUAACUCUUCUCAUCCCGGUAGGGGACCACCACCCUUCUCACCUGAAUGUACUUGGGCAGGUUUCACAUUGUCCAUGCACAGGAAGCCAGUUCUUUGGAAAUUUCUACAGUGAUGACGUUGUCCAGAAAACUUGAUGGAAAUGAAGUCUCUAUAACUGCUAGUUUUCUGCUUCAGCCUUUUUCAGUACAAAGUUAUUUUAUCAGGUCUUUCUACUUGACCACCUUUAAUGAAGUUUAUUUUGCAUAUUUUUGGAUGCAUUCUGUGAGUGGUUAAAAAUCAUCGUAUCAGAGAGACAAGAAUUCAAUCAGUAUGUGUGAAGUCCUUGAUAUGUUAUAGUGGGGACUUAACUAGGAUAACUUGAUUUAUUUUUCUCACUCCGAUUAUUUGGCUCAUUAAUUUCUUACAAAUUUUUUGUUACCCUGUUUGUUUCCUUCUAUAAGAAAAUCCAUCAAAAUAACGGUGGACAGACCAGUCCUAUGAUAAGUUGUUUGGCAUAUGAUUUAAAGAUUCUAAAGGAGAAUUUUUAGAUUUUAAAUAUAGAAUGGGGAAAUGUUAAUCUCCACUCCUACUAUGCCUAUAAUUUUUAUCAUUAGAGAUGAGAUUGCAGGCACAAACACUGCAGUUUAAAAUCACUUUGUCAUAUUACUUCCUACUAGGCUGGUGAGAUGGGUGGAGGAGGCAGGAUCAGAGUGGGAAGCCAGGACACUGAGGCCAACUUGGCCAAGUUCUCAGUGUUACUGAAGGUCAGCAACCCAUGGACGUGCCAAGCUGUCUGGAGGAUCUGUGAGGAAUUUAUGCUACUGAAUUUACCAUUAAAGAACCAAAUUUUUAUUAGGAUUUAACUUGUCUUUGCCAAAAUUGGCUAAAGUUGAUGAGGUCCUAUGUGUAAGCACAGCUUUUACCUAUUUUAGUUAGUGCUCCCCAUUAGAACUUUUUGCAGUGACAAAUGUUCUGUUUCUGUGCUGUCCAGUAAGGCAGCCACUGACCACAUGUGGCUGUUGAGCCCUUGGAAUGUGAUUAGUGUGACUAAAUUUAACUAAAUGUUUAGGUUUUUCCAUUAAAUUUUCAAGAAUUUAAAUUUUUAAAAAGUAAUGGACUGGUGGUUGUUGUGUUGGACAUUAUGGUUCUAGAACAGAUACGUUCUGACACAGAUCAGAAUCAAAUUGACUAUGAAAGAUCUUGGCAUUCCUUGUGCUGGGAAGUACUGUGUCAGUUGUCAUAGCAAGGGUCACAGCUUUGGAAAUUUUAUGUGAGGCUGAAUCUCUUUUAUUUUGAGCUACAAGUGACAAAAUGGUCUCCAUUGAGAAAAAAGAGUUCCACUGACACUUAGACUUGUUUUUCUUUUCCCCACUGUAUCAUUUAGUUUUGUGUUUAAUUCCUUGGUUUUUUUCUUUGUUUUUCAGUUCCUUGACCAUCAGUUUGUCACCUGCCCCUUCUCUUUAUGUAAGUAAAAGUGGUUUAUUUACCUUUUAAAAAGUUAUGUCAGAUUUGGGGAAUUUUGGUCUUUAUUGACAUCUUUGCUAGCUGACUUGGCCUCUAGCAUUUGUUUGGUGUGUGUUAGCUUCUUUCGUGUUUGGAGUUGAGGCUGUUGGUAGUAGUGGUAUGUUACCAUCCAGGUGGGAGCUGAAAAGACCAGCAGCCCAAGCUCCUGUUCCUAUAUAGACUGCCCUGUACUUGGCCAUGUUGCUAAUUUCAAAGGUCACUGCUCUUCUAAACUGCGGCUUACGUUUUUCUAUCAGUUAUCAGCCAUGAGUUGGGCUAUCAGUGAGUGCACAAUUAUUUAUUCUGCAGUUACUCACCUAUCUAUAGAUCCAACAGUUUUUAAUUUUAACUCCUAGAUCAGAGAUGUCUUUUUACUAAGGAGUAUAAGACAGAAAAUUGAAUAGACUAAAUUUUUGUGCAAAAUUUUUAAAGUUGGGGGAGAUUAAAAGAAAUCUAGGAUUCAUAUGUGCCAAUAGGCAUAUAAAAGAUACCAUUGUAUUUUAGAAAAAAAUGAGAAGUUAUUUGGGAAAAAAACAUUUGAUUUUAAGUGAAAAAAUUUUUUAUUGUUGUUAUUAUUAAUAGAACCAAACCAGGCUAAACUGCUAGGGUUUGGGUUUGAAUAUAUAUUACUCUGAGUUUCUUGAAAGAGGUUCUGGGGCAGCAAAACCAAAAGAUCAAAGUCAGUACAAGAGACACUGCCCAAGAAAUCCUACAGUGAGUGACAGUCACCUGAUGUGAUAAAUAAUCAUCAGCAUCCUUCUGGCUGCAUCUCACCCUCUGAUGCAUAUUGUCCAUUAAAAAUUAUGUCUUAUUUCACUGACUCUUUACUCCAAAGUAUUUCAUGUGUUGUAAUCAUCUGUACAAAGAGGAGGUUAGCAUGGCUUUUUUCCUUAUGUGUAGCUUCCACUAAUAUUCUUAGGAGCUAAUAGCAAAUAUAUUUAGGGGACCUGAGUCCUCCAAAGGAUUUUAAGGCUAAAGUCUAGUUUGACAUUUUAUUUGACAGAGAAAGGCUGGUGCUAUAUGUAAUGCAUUCAUACAGCAGGGGUGGGUCCUACCUUCCCCUGACACGUCUUGUUAUUCCCUGUUCUUGAUGUUGAUAGAGUAGGUCUGUUAAGGCUUUGGAAGAUGUCAGUGUGCAUACUUAUUGUUACCACUUUAUUUAUUUACAUCCUUCUCCUCAGUUACCCAGCACUGCAUAUUUCUAGUCUUCUGACUGGCAAAUCAUUUUUUGUUACAGUUCUUUUGUGUAAAACCAGUUCACAUAAUAGCUCUGUGUUAGACAAGGCAUUAAUCCUCACAUCACCAGAAUGAGUCAGCACCAUGCACUCCUGCCUGCACAGCUCAGCUAUUAUGACGUCAGUGCUUGAGGGCAAGCUUCAGACACAAGCAGUAUGAGAGACCUGUGUCACCUAUUAAAAAUCGAGGAGGAGAACUUUGAGAUAAAAGAUAUAAUUGAAAGGCUGUGUCUGGCUCAUAGAAAAAUGUAAAAUUGAUUCUGUGCUGCAUCAACCAUCAGUCAAGCAGCUUCUUGAGAGAUGGAAUUUUUUUAACCAGAUAUAAGAGGAGGGCAAAGACCUAUGGUAACUUGAUAAUCCGUUCAUAUACUCAUGACCUUGUCCCACCCUGGGACAUAGUUCAUGCUUGCUUGAAUUUUUCCAAAUUCUGAGGUUGCUUUUAUGCCAGCAAGGUGACGGUCCUGCUGUCCUCAAAUGCCCUGUGGUUGUGGCUGAUGGCUUCAGGGAUUGAGCCUCAGAGGCCCAUCAGAAAAAAAGGAACCAUUUCUUGCAAACAGAUCAGAACAUUAUCUCACCAGUGCUUCUCACUCCAAGUGCCUCUUCAGUGGCCUUCUCUGGAUAGGUGCAGAAUUCAGCAGUUUUGACCUCCCUUAGGCACUACAUUUAGUCCAAUGUCCCAAUCUGCAUUUGACCCCAAUUUCAAUAGUAACUGAAUAGCUGCCAGAUUUUUCCCAAGAGUUUUCCUUUCAAUUAGUCUUUUACAGAAACAAACAAACAAAUAAAAAGGAAUCCACCAUAACCUACCGUGCUGUUUUGAAGCAGGUAGCAGAGAGUCAUCCUAUGUGGGAAACCCUGUUCUUAUAAGUUAGGCCUCUCCACAGUUCAGACUGAGACACAUCCUUUAGACAGUGCCUUUCAGUAUUGAAAACCACAUUGUAAAUGGUGAUAAUUUACUGCCUUAGUGAUAUUCUCUGCUUUAAAAAAAGACAUUCCGGGCUAGGGAUUUAGCUCAGUGGUUCUGCCACAUUCCCCACAAGCACAAGGACCUGAGUUCAAUCCCCGGUACCAAAAAAAAAAAAAAAAAAGACAUUCCUCCAUCGCAGCAUCCAUGUCCCUGCCUUACUCUUACCCCAGCCAAUUAAUCACCAGCCUCUUUGAUAAUCAUCAGAAAAUGCCUUACUGCUGGGCUCUUCCACCUUCAUUAGAUUGAUAAUAGUCUCCUACCAUGCUUAUAAAAGCUAAUACUACUGUUUGGCUUAGUUUUGAUUCAUUAUGCAUAGAUCUUUAUUUUGUUUUCAGUUAACCAAUGUUUAUGGAAAACUUGUUACUAUACUAUGUUCUGGGAACUCCAAAAUAAAUAAGACAUGAUCCUUUUUAAAAAAUGUUACAGUAUAAUAGGGGAGAAAAAUAAGUGAAUAAAGACUAUCUUAUGUGAUAGGUGUAGGAGUGUAGGUACACCCAAGAUGUAUGAAGAAGAAUGAGAAAGGAGUGCCCGUCUGCAUGUGGGGAGGUGUCCAAGAUGAUUCUUAAAGUCAAAACAAUGAAUAUCAGUAUACCAGCUGGAUAGAGGAGAGGUAAAAGGAAGAGGAUUCAUAAUCAAGUAAAACAUGAGAACAUUUAUAAAGUCAAGAGGCAUCAAGUUAUAGCCAGGUCCAUAGGACUGAUUGGUUUUGUGUUGCUGGAGCUCAGUAAGUUGAUUAAAAGAGUAGCAUAAGAGAUGGAGGUGGGAAAGCAGGCAGGGGGAAGAUCACAAAAGGCCCUUGUAUACCAUGCAAAGGAGUCCGGACUUCCUUCUUCAGGCUCAAAGAGAUUUUAAAGAAUUUAAAGAAAAUUUACGUUUUGGAAAGAGCACUCUAUUGUUGAGAUGGCUGACUGAGAAUAGGGAAACCAGGUCAAAGGUGAAAACCAAGGGCCCCAACUGUUCAGUUAGGUCUGGAGUAGAACAGAGAGGCUAUUUGGGAGUAUUGACAUAGGCAUUAACAUUUGCAGAAUUCCAGCAUAUCUUGGCCCACUGCAUAAACCUGCCUUCUAGGAGAAAGGUUAAUAUGUUGAAUGAGGCCAAAUUUCAGACCAAAAUACAUCCUUAUGGGAGCUUCACGGGAGAAUCUCUCUCACCUUACUCUGAGCUGCUGGUCUCCAGGAUUGUGCGUAUCCUGCCCAAAGUAGGCAUGAGGCAAGAGGAAAGGGAGCAGAUAAGAAGAAAAUGUUGCUUUUCUUUCACCUGAAAAUCAAACCAUUUCCUAAUAAUGUCUCCUUAAAGUCAGUUAAUGCCCCAAUUUCCUAUUGUUUUCCCAUUGCUGCUUUUUCCAAGCAGAAUUUUCAAGCCAUUGAACUGAAUUGCAACUUAUGCACAGCCCGGGUGUUGAAAUAGUAAAGUAUAUUCAUCCCUUCUCUCUGAAUGAGAGUUCACCAUAAGUGUGCUUUUCUCUUGUUCACUUUGGGCUUCCAGGACAGUUUAAAGGAAAUGUUCAACAGCUUAUGUCUCACGUACCCUGUUCGCGAGACAAACGGGAAGAUUUGCGUGGGUGUGUUUAAGUCUUCUCUAUAUUGCUUCCUAGAGAAAGGUUUGAGAAGAUGAACAAGAUGGGGAGUAGGGACCUACUGAAAGCCCAGGUCUCUCAGUGACCUGAGUGCAGAACAUAGGCUGGUGAUCAGAUGGUCAAUUAUGUGUUUGUCAAAACACAGUGGGCUGCAUUCCAGAUUGCCAGCUUUGGAGGCCCAGUUUCUGCCAACCAAAUGUCAUCUGGGAACAUGCAACACUGGGCACUGUGAAGGAGUUUGAAAUAGACCACGCCACAGCCAACCUACUGCCACUCUUAUAGCACCAAUAUGGCAUGCACAGCCGGGCCCCAUGUUUCAGAGCUCAGGAAUUCACUGUACUAAAUUCAGGAGGUCAGAUGGGUUCAUGUUUUCAAAGCCUAUGUUCUCUGCUUUGAACACUGUGACUUGCUGCUCAACAAUUUCCAGGGGAUUUUUCCAGUCCCCUGUCUGUGGAAACCACUCUUUUUGUGAUGGUUAUGAGAGCCUUGUAAAUGUCCUGGAGGAAAAGGAAAAAAAUAAACUUGCUCUGACAAUGACUGUGAUUCCUACAAGGGAUUCCAACUCUUAGGAAAUUACAUUAAAGGUGCAUAGCUUUUAAAAUAUCAGGAACCACCUUGGCAACUUAUGAAAAGCAGAAGGGCUUUGCCUAUUUUAUAAAGUGAUUUGCAUAUACCUGCAUAAAUAAUGUCCCCACCUGUACUUUUAUGCAUUUAGGUUGAAUAAAUUAAAUUCAGUGAUCUUUAAAAUAUUCACUGUCUUUCAUUGCUAAGACUCCAUUUUCAGGACCCUUCUCUCUUUUUUUUUUCUUGUAGUGGUAGUGGCUUAUUUUUUUUUCCCAGCUAAUUCAGAGAAUCAAAACACUGUGCAGACCAGUCUACCACAGCCAGGAGUAUCGUCUCCCGCUGCUUGAAUUUCCCUUAGUUUUCUAUCUAUCGAGCCAUGUCCCAUAUACUUUUCAAGCUAGAAAAUGGAGGAAUAUAUUACUAAGAUGAAAGCAUGGCACAAGAUAGGAUUAAGCUCUGCUACCUAUAUGUAUAUUCAGACUUUUCUUUCUUUGAGCACUGCCAUAGCCCCUUCAGAAACAAUCCAGCUACCUAUCCCAUAACAAUUUUAAGUCGGGCCUUCAAACCGAAGCCUGGCUCAGUAGGCCAGUCUCAGCCACAGUCAUUCCAUAAGAUAUUAUUAAGCACUUAUUAUGUACAAAGAAUCAUGUCUAGUGGAGAAUUAAAACAUAAAUACAGGAUAUUGACCUUAUUGUAAAUGAAUUUGAAAUUGAGUUAGAAAAGAAGUUAUACUGUGGAGUAUUUUGUAUGUUCAUAAGACGGUAAAUGUUGAAGUUGCACAAAGAAUGAUUUAGUCCAGGAGGAACUAUAAGAUUUCAUUCUUGAGAUCUUGAGAGCUAGAAAUUUACAUAUAAAUGUAAAAUGUGAUUCAAAUCGAUCUUUAAAAGUGGCUAGAAUGCAAAAAAGAUAUGGAGAAUGAUAUUUCAAACAAAAGCACUGGGAUCUUUGAGCAGGUCUAUAAGUAGCACUGUUCUUCUUCACCCAAAUUCUAAACCCACUGAAAAAUGAGACAAAAGAAUUGAUAGCUGGGGAAUCAAAAUUCUGUAAAUGUUGGUUGAAGAGUAUAGGAAAAUGGGCUCACUGACUCCCUUCCCUUCACCAUGAACUUUGAAAAACUUUCCUAAGGGAUAAUUUGGACCUUCAUAUAACCAAUACUUUUCCAGGUCAUAAUUCCCACUAGUCUAAGUAGUAAAGAAGGGAGAAUGAGGCUAAACUGUACUUACAAACUGAUAGAUCAAUUCUAUGUAAAUGAGAAAUAUGGACCACAGGCUGUUUUACCAACAAGAUGAUUUGUUUCUAUGGAGAAGUAUAAGGAAUGAGGCAAGAGGUAAACAGUGUUCAGAAAACUUGUUUGUGGAAACUCGGAAUAAGGAAGAUAUAGUCUUAACCAACAUGAAGAUCCACAAGCUGGAAAAUAGGAGCAAGUGAGAUGAACUAGAAGUGGGAUGAAAAUGCAGAACCAAGAGGCUAGAAAAUUUUUUCAUCUGUCUAAGGGGUACCCCUGGGACUAGAAUCAGCAGUCAUUGUGGUUAGCCAAGUGGUUAUACUGAGGACUGCUUUUGGGUGUCUCAAAGUUAUUAGCAACAGAACCUGGAGUAACAGGCAAACAUAAAUAAAUAAAUAAACCUAUUAGGAAAAGAAACACAAACACUUGUAUCUCUUAUUAAACUAAUAACAACAAUAGGACAUAAUGUGGACAUAACAUUUAUUGAAUACUUGCCUUGCUUUUGGUACUAGAUUAAAUACUUUUAAUGGCUAUCUGAUUUAAUUUAUAAAGCUAUAAUAUUAUGUAGAUGCUGUUAUAAUAGUUGUGCAGAUGAAGAAAUUGAGAUUUAGUAAUGUGAUUUUCUCCAGUAGUUCAGUGACCAACAUGAAAAGACAUAAGAAAUGUGUAUUUCAGUUCAAAUUAUGGUGGGGUUUCACCAGUGUUUGUAGACAGGAAUUGCAGUUUUAGUUUUUCUUUUUUGUUGUUUUUGUUUUUGUUUCCCAUCUUUGGUUCUAGCUGAGGCCAGUGUAGAAGGGCAGUGAAAAGGCUCAGCUAAAUUAUCCAAGCAUUUAUUGGGACCUACAUUGUGUGUGAUCCAGAAAAUACUUAGAUGAAUAAGGCACUAUCUCUGCCUUCAAAAAGCUCCCAAUCUAGGGUGGUCUGAAGGCUGCCAUCUGGCCCAAGAGACUAGGAGCAGUUGAUUAAUCUUUGCUAAAAGACAAGAGGACUCACAUCUCCCUUUUCUUUUUCUUUCUUUUUUUUUUUUGCUGGCUCCUUCCCUUCCUCUACUCUCCCUACCCUUUCCAUUCCCAGUCAUUGUUUUUUUUCCUCAAAAAAUAUCUCUCUGCCUUGUUGCCAAGCCUCUAAUAAGCUUCAAGCAUAUAUGAAUGACAAGUCUGAUUUUUCUCACUAUCAUUUUGCUAAAAUUUGACCAUUUAGAAGCAAUUAGAUCAUCUACUUGAAGUGGUGUAUAGCAUGAAUUUUCUCUAAAUUUUCAGAGCUGGCAUCUAACUAUUCAAAAGGUUAUUUAAGAGGAAAUGAGAGAUGAAGGAUGGGUAGGUUGGAGAGAGAAAAAAAGGAAAGAAAGAAGGAAAGGAAGGAGGAGAAAAAUGUAGGAAAAGAAAGAAGGCUAAUUACAGAAGACUUUUAGGGAGUUCAAAAUGGAACUCUGAUUUGAAAUGAAUAAAUGAGUUUCUGUCUCUAGUGUUGAUCUAAACCAUCAGCUUCCAGAGUGGAAACCUGAAGCAACCAGAAUAUUAUAGAUUGAUGAAAUUCCAGCUGCUGGCAGAUUUUUUUUUAGUUUUUAAAAAAAAUCAUAUUAGUACAUAUGUGCAGUAUAUGAUGAUUACAUUCCUUACAUGGAGUUGAUACAUGUCCAUAACACGUUUUAAUUUUUUCACCCCCUUUCCUUUCUCUCCCUUUGUACUCCCUCCAUCUCUUGAUUCCGUUCCCAUUUAAGAAAGAUCUAUCUUCCUCCUUUCUAUUGUCAAUCUUUUAUUUUGCACUUUAUUUAUAUUUUAAGUAAAAACCAUAUGACACUUAAACUUGUGUGUCUACUUUAUUUAACUUAGCAUUAUCCAUUUCCCUACAAAUGACCUGUUUGUGCUUCCUUAUGGCAGAAUAGUGCUCCAUUGUGUGUAAAUGCUACAUUUUCUGUACCCAUUCAUCUGUUGAUGAACAUAUAGGCUGCUUCCAAGAUUUAGCUACUAUGGAUUGUGCUGCUAUAAAUAUGGAUAUGCAUGUAUCACUGUAACAUGCUGCUUUUUGGGGAAGACACCAAGAAGUAGAGUAGCUGGAUCAAAUGGAAUUUUUAGUUUUAGUUUUUUGAGGAAUCUCCAUACUGAUUUACAUGGUGAUUGCAAUAGUUUACAUUCUCACCAAAAAUGAAAAAAGGUUCCUUUUCCGCACAGCAUCACCAGCAUUUUUAUUAUUUGAUUUUUUGAUGAUGGCCAUACUUUCUGAAAUAAGAUUAUAUCUCAGUCUUGUUUUAAUUUGCAUUCCAGUAAUGGCCAGCAGUGAUGAACAUUUCCUAAUGUAUUUAUUGGCCAUUAGUAUGUCUUCUGAGAAGUGUCUAUUCAUUUCAGUUUCCCAUUUUUUCAUUGUGUCUUUUAUUUGGGAAGUGUAACUUUUUUUUGAGUUCUUUAUAUAUUCUAGAUAUUAAUCCUCUGUGUGAGGAAUAGCUGACAGUUUAAGAGAAUAUAUAAAGAGGAUGUGAAGGAGGUGAAAAAUCCUAAUUUCUGGUAGAAUCCUUUCCUGAGAUUUAUUCUGAGCAUUAUAAAAUGAUACUUUAAGAAGAAGUAAUAACAUAAUGCCUUUCCUUUAUUGAAGCACAUUCUAUUCUGCUAAAUUCCCUUUAGGAAAUAACAUUAGGACCAUUUGAAUCAAAAUUAAAUUGCAGAUACAUCUGGGGUAAAAUUUACCAGCUGUUGAGUGAAGGAGCUGUAUUUUUUAAUAUUUACUUCUUAUAUGAUUGUAUAAUUUAUAAUUAUUAUAAAAUGUUAAGAAAGCAGAGAGUAAGCAGAAAACAUCCAUAAUCCCAUUACAUUGAAACAACCAUUAUUAACAAAUUUUUAGAUCACCUUCAAGUGUCUUUGCUAGACUUUAACAUAAUUGUGCAUAUAUUUCAUACAUAAGGUUGUAUCUUAUUUUUAAUUCAGUAUUAUUUUUUAAAUUUUUUCCAUUAAGUUUAUUGGUACAUUUUAGGUAUAAAAUACAGUUACAUUCAUCAUUGGGAUCUUGUACCUUUACAUGAGUAUCUUGGUUCUUAUUUUUUUCUCCUUCCCCUGCCCUCCCUUCAACCCCUCUACCCUUCCCUAUUUGCAAAGACUGUUUCCCUUUUUUUCCUUUUCUCAUAUAUUUUCUUUUCCCUUCUUUCCUUUCCCCUACCCCUCCCACUUCCCCUACUCCUUUAGACCUUUUCUUCCUAUGACACAAUCUCAAUUAUACAUUUUUUAAAUUACAAUAUCAAGAUCUAGGAGACAUUACCACAUAUUUUAUAGAAUUUAAAAGGAUAUAGAAGGCAUAUUACAAAAAUCUUUUUUGAAAUAAAUUUGACAACUUCUAAGAAAUACCUUGGAAGACAAAUUAAUGAAACUAUGGAGGAAAUAUAAAAUUUGAAUAGCAACUAUUAAAGAAAGUAUAUUCCCAGCUUGAAAACCUACCUUUAUGACAACAGCAGACUCAUAUACAUUUUAACUGAUAAAUUAUAUCAAACAUUUAAAGCAGAAAAAAGAAGGAACACUUCUCCCCUCAUUUUAGGAAAUCAACGUUGUACUAAUACUAAAACUGGAUAAAGAUAAUAGAAGAAAAAAAGUAUGAACAUACAUAAAAAUUUGUUUAACAAAACAAACUAUUAGCAGUCAGAUUUGGCAGUAUGUAGAAAGUGGUUUUGUUAUAGGGAUGGCAGUGUUGGUUCAGCAUUGGAAGAUCCACCCCCAAAAGUCAUCAUUUUAACAGAGGACAGGAAAAAGCCAUAUGAUCCUGUCAGUAUUUGGAAAAAAAAGUAUUGGAUUAAAUUCUACAGCUGUUCAUGGUAAAAACUAUCAGGAGACUAGAAGUAGAACAGUACCUUCUCAACAGAUCAAAGACAUGUACUCCAUACUUCCAGCAAAAACGCCUUAUAUAAAUGGAGAAGAUACAAUGCUUUCUCCCUAAGGUGAGGAACAAGGGAAGAUAGGCCUAUUCUUCAUCUGUCCAUUAAACUUUGAAACAUAGGCCCAAACCAAAAUAGUCUGGCAGGGCCGGGGAUUUAGCUCAGUGGUUCCGCUGCCUGCCUCGCAAGGGGAAGGACCCAAGUUCAAUCCCCGGUACCAAAAAAAAAAAAAGGGAACUGAAGCUCAGGCCAGGGAUUUAGCUCAGUGGUUCUGGCGCCUGCCUUGCAAGGGGAAGGACCCAAGUUCAAUCCCUGGUACAAAAAAAAAAAAAAAAAUCAUCUGGCAAUAAAAUGAAACAAUUAGGAUAGGAUUGGCAAGGUAGAAGUAAAAUCUUUAUAUUCUUUAUAUGUAGAUGAAAUGAUCAUCUACAGAGAAAAUGCUAAGAAAUCUCUAGGAGCCCCUAGAACUUGUAUUUGAAUUUAGCAGGAUUAGAAAACACAGGGUAUAUAUAAAAGUUCAGGUCUAUGUAUACUUGCUAUAAAUGAAGAAUUGGAUAUUGAAAUUUAAAAGUUAUGUAGAAGUACACAGGACCUAGAAAAGUAAAAAGAAAAAAAAAACAGUGUUUGAAGACAUUUAGUACCUAAUUUUAAGACUUCCUCUAAAGCUACAGUAAUCAAGUCAGUGUUGGUGUAAGGAAAGACAUAUAGAUCAUUGGAAUAAAACAGAGAAUCUAGAAAUAGAACCACACAUAUAUGGUCCACUGAGUUUUGAAAGAUUAUUUAACAUUAAUGUUUUAUAGAACAUAAACUCAAUUCAAGAGCAGAGGAAAAGAUAGUGUUUUCAGCAAAUGACACUAGAAUACCUGGUAUCCGUAUAUAAAAAAUUAACCUCAACCCUUUAUUUCCAUACAUAAAAAUAUCUUGAAAGGAUCUAUGAACUUAAAUAUGAGAGAUUAAAAAAAAGAAAUUAUCAGGGAAAAUGUUUAUGAAUUUAGGGUAGGCAAGAAUUUCUAGGAUAGAAAAAACAGGAUGUAUAAAGGAAAAAAUUGAUAAAUGAGAUUCCAUUAAAAUUUAGAACUUUAAAUGACAUCAUUAAGAAAAUGAAAAGUAAUCCUUAAACAGACCAUAUUUACAAUGCAUAUAACCUAUGACCAGAAUAUGUAAAGAACACUUGCACCUCAUUAAUAGACAACUCAAUUGAAAAGUAGACACAAGAAGAUGAUAAAUAGCCAGUAUAGCACAGGGAAAGGUGUGCAACACUAGAAUCAGAAAAAUACUAAUCAGUACAAUAACAAGAUUGAAUUAUACACUCAUUAGGGAGAUGAAGUUAAAAGUUUUAAAAGAACAAAUGUCAGCUUAGGUAUGAACCAAUUAGAACUUUCUAAUACUGCUAAUGUGAAUGUAAAAUGAUAAAACCAUUUUGGAAAAUAAUAUAGAAAUUUCUUGUAUUACUGUUAAGAACCAACAGUUCUGUUCUUAAGUUUUUACUUGAGAGAAAUGAAAACACAUGUUCACAAUAGAUUUGUAUAUACAAGUUGACUAUCCCUUAUCUGAAAUUCUUGGGACCAGAGUGUUUCAGAUUUUCAUUUGAAAUCCACUUGAUCUACAAAGAGGAUAGCUACUUCUGCUUUUUUUUUUUUUAUUCCUGUCACGUGGAGUAUUGUUUUCUACCCUUUUACUUUCAGUCUGUGAGUUUCUUUUUGAAUUAAAUGUGUUUCUUGUAUGCAGCAUAUUGUUGGAUCUUGCUUCUUGACCCAUUCUGCCAGUCUAUAUCUUUUGAUUGAUGAAUUGAGACCAUUAACAUUGAUGGUUAUA
ensembl:lncRNA